ACAGAGGGUGCAAGCGUUGUUCGGAAUUACUGGGCGUAAAGCGCGUGUAGGCGGCUUGAUAAGUCGAAUGUGAAAGCCCUUGGCUUAACCAAGGAAGUGCAUUCGAUACUGUUUAGCUUGAGUACCGGAGGGGAUGGCGGAAUUCCUGGUGUAGAGGUGAAAUUCGUAGAUAUCAGGAGGAACACCUGUGGCGAAGGCGGCCAUCUGGACGGUGACUGACGCUGAGACGCGAAAGCGUGGGGAGCAAACAGGA
rnacentral:rRNA from 1 species